AGCUGGCCAAACUGGGCCUGGAGCAAGACAAGGAUUCAGGCUAACAGACCCCCCACCCACACUUACGUUUGGGUGGUCACAUCUCCCUGGGGGAAGCUGGCACCACCUUUACCUGUCAAGCAAUAUGUAACUUCUUCACUCCCACCCCACCAACUAUAUAAGUUGUCAGAACAAAGAACUUGUUCUCUUGGCCUCUUUGCUAUUUCACCACAUGGGGGGGAGGAAGGGCCU